GACAGAGGGUGCAAACGUUUGUUCGGAAUUACUGGGCGUAAAGCGCGUGUAGGCGGCUAAGUAAGUCGGGCGUGAAAUCCCACGGCUCAACCGUGGAAGUGCACUCGAAACUGCAUAGCUAGAGUCCUGGAGAGGAAGGUGGAAUGCUUGGUGUAGAGGUGAAAUUCGUAGAUAUCAAGCGGAACACCGGUGGCGAAGGCGGCCUUCUGGACAGUGACUGACGCUGAGACGGCGAAAAGCGUGGGGAGCAAACAGGG
rnacentral:rRNA from 1 species